UUAAAGUUCUGUGAGCAGAAGGAAAACACCUGUGUAAAUGUAGCCUACAUAGAACAGCUUGCCACUGAGGUGGCAGGUGAUUUUACCAGCAUUUGCAGACAAUCUCUAGUUCACCAGCUGUUGUAUGCUUCAAUGCACAUCAAGCCUACUCAUCUUAAUUGGUAACUGCAGGCAGAAUAACUUGUAUACUACAGCUAUCAUCAUG